UGUGUUUUUCUCUGCAAAUUCAACUCAGAUUCAGUGGCUUCAGAGAUUGAGAUUGAAGAGAUGUCUCUGGAAGCUUCAAAACAGUUCUGGUCUUGUCAGAAAUCAACAACCAGAAACCUUAAUGUCUCUGGGAGCUUCGACUAUGUAACUAUUGACUUAAAAUCCCCAAAUCGAAAUGGGGAUUAGGGUUUCUAAAAUUAGAGGGAGGUGCUCGCCAACACAGAAAGUAAGUGGGGUGUCGGAAGUUAGAGGGUUCACUUGGUCAAGCGAAGGUGAAUUUCACGAAGGUGUGUCCGGCCGAAGAGCAUUGUGCUCCGACGAUAGUUUUCUGGCCGACACGGAACCAUGGAGAAGAGAUUAUGGGGCGAUGCCGAUGCCGGAGAAGAAAGUCUCUGUUUGCGUUUUCUCGAAACAGAGCAGAAAGUAAUAUUUCGAGGGAACAAAAACAACAUUGCAAAACACUAAAGGGACCGGUUAACCUUAUGUGUAGUGUCGGCAUGGAGUUACCAAUGGUGGAGGCAAGGUUCAAGAACAUUAGCGUAAACGCAGCGUGUGAGGUGGUUCGUGGAAAGCCUCUCCCUACUCUUUGGAACGCAUUAAUCUCUGUAAGUUUGGUUUUAUCUUGGAAUUCUUCUCGAAAAAUUGUUUCAGGGUUUCAUGUUUGCUAAACAAUUAGGGCAAACUUCACAGAUACACGACUUGCUCCGGGUCCGGAGAUUAGUCUGGGCUUCGGUCCAGGACGCUCCGUUAUAAAAAAAAAAACAAAAAAAAACUUCACUGAUACACCAAACGUGUCGUAUCCAUUUCAUAGAUACACUCAAAAAUCAUAUAGAAUUAAUAAAAGACGCUCUUAUCCUUAAAAAAGUUGGAAAAGACUAUGAUAACCUCAAACAAAGAAAACGUAAAUCAACAUACACACGUAUAAGAUAAAAACCAACCACUUGAAAUUUAAAAAGAAAAAGACGAUUUUUUUACACCGAUUUUAAAAUCAGAAAUCAGAGAAAAAUAUGUCGAGAAAAUUAAGGGAGAGACUAAUUCAAGAUCGAUUGAAAUGAUAAGAUCCAAGACCAAAAUUCGGAACUUUUAAAUAUUAAAAUAAAAUUUUUUCCAUCUGCAAUCUUCUUUGUAUUUUUCAAUGGUUGUCACUUUUUCACUCUAAAGAUGGUAAAGAUGAUGCGUCGCUUACAAUCUACAUUAUCGGAAACGGAAUUGGAGACUCCAUUGUGAUCCACUUCUUUCGUACUUACUCUGUUUUUGUUUUCAAUGGCUUCGUUGGAUCCUAAAUCCUGAUGUUCGAGCGUUACAAUGAUGUCGACAAACACAUGACAAUCGUAACUGUUGGCGGCAAGACGUUUGAGAUGCAGAAUGUCGGGGAUAAUUUCUUGAAGUUUUACGAAAAUCUCGAAACAAGACCGAUCUUUAAACUCGUUGAAAUGAUAUCUAAGUGGUUAAGAUUGUACAAUUUGACAAGGUUUGUGAUGUAUUGUAUAUGUGAAAAUUGAACUCAACUUGUAUUGUUUUGGUAUGUAUUUUAACUUGAUUUUAUCAGA